UAAGGAAUAUUGCUCAAUGGGAGAAAUCCUGAAGCAGCAACGCCGCGUGGAGGAUGAAGGGUCUAUGACUUGUAAACUCCUGUAAAGAAGGAAAAAAUUCCCAUUAGAUGGGAGAUGAUGGUACUUCUGGAGUAAGCCCCGGCUAACUACGUGCCAGCAGCCGCGGUAAUACGUAGGGGGCAAGCGUUGUCCGGAUUUACUGGGUGUAAAGGGUGCUCAGGCGGAUUUGUAAGUCAGAGGUGAAAUCUUACAGCUUAACUGUGAAAAUGCCUUUGAUACUGCAAGCCUAGAGUAUGGAAGAGAGUGAUAGAAUAUCUGGUGUAGCAGUGAAAUGCGUAGAUAUCAGAUAGAACACCAAUGGCGAAGGCAGUCACUUGGUCCAUUACUGACGCUAAAGCACGAAAGCGUGGGUAGCAAACA
rnacentral:rRNA from 1 species